UGAAAUUGCCUAUCAGAUCACAGUGGCCAUUCCUCCAACAUAAAGUUUUUAAACACUGGAUUGAUAUAUUAAAUAGUAGGUAAUGUGGUCAAUUAGCAAUUUGGGGAAAAAAAACUGUGGUAAUUGUAGGAUGUUAUUUUAGCAUAAUUUAAAAUUCAAUUUGGUGGUUAAUUGCAUUAGAGGUAGACUUGAUUUGUUGUGCAAAUACCCAAAAGCAUUGGUGUCAACAGUUAGGAUAAACUCAUUCUCACUUUCUUCAUUUUUUUUCUUUUUAUUUUUCCCUUACAUUUUUUGACCUCUGCAGAUACUAGUGUCUUUUUGCAGAGAUUCCAUGUUGAAAGUUGUUUGUUCAAGUGCACCAUUGUGAAUCCAGACCUCACUCCUGUAACUGUUCUUGCACGUUCAGAUGAAUGAGAGCAGGGGUGUAAUGGAAAAAACAGCAGAUGAAAAGUUCAUUGCUUCCUUGGACACAGUUCAGUCUAGGUAUCAUUCUUAUAAUUAUGCCACUUUCUUGGUAGGGUGAAGAGACAGAAGGCAGAAUGUCAUACAUUAUUAGAAGUAGUUUAUUUUAAAUGCAUGAAAAUUUGAGCAAAAUUCACUUAACGUAAUUCACAGCAAACUUUGAACACUCAGCAGAAUUUUAUCACCUCUACAAAUAAAAUAAGGGUGUCUGUAAAAUAAGUUUGCACUCCUUUUUCAUCCAAGAUUUACAAACUGUGUCCCAAAGAAGACAAACUAACAUCCAAAAUAAACAUCUUUUUAAACAUUAUGUACACACCUCUUCUAGUCUCUAGAUCAAAGGUUGGUGUAGGAUGCUAAGGAUCAUGCAAAUCUUACAGGACGCUUUUCUGGGAUUUGCGACAGCAGUGCCAAAAGUAGGUGAGGUUCUUGGGUAACAGACUAUGCAACCUACUGUUCAACAGUAUUGUGUAUGUGCACACAGAACCAAUGUGCUUACAGACCAAAGACUUGUAUAUAUAUAUUUAAAAAAAAAAAAAAAAGUAAAAAAAAAAAAAAAGGAAGGAAAUAAAUGUAACAUUAAUAUGUAAUAAUGUGUCUUCUAUAUACAAAAGGAUUGGAUUGCUGUGUUCAGCUGGAACUCUAAGACAGGAAAUCUUUCUGAUUCCUUCCACCUAUGCAAAUAGCAAAAUGCAGAUGGUUUCUAAUGUCAUAAAACAUGUUUAAAGGCUCUAUUUUAUACAACUCCACUGAAGAAAGUUGUGUUGCCACUUCUUUCUUUUGAAAAGCUGAAAUUUGUCACUCUUUAAAAUUACUGAAACAUCUAUUAUCCAUAGGGACCUUGUGUAUUAGCAAAAAAUGUACUAAAAGUAAGGGCAGAAUGACAUGAAUGAAAAGUGUACCUCCACUUAGGUGGAGGUAAAGGUGAAAAAAAACAGAGAAAUUGUAAAUCAUGAAAGAAGAGCUGUCAGUUUUACUUCCCACAGAGCAUCUUUUGAAAAAGCCAGGUAAACUUGUAGUUCAACAGCCGCAUAGCUUAUAUGAGUAUAUCUGAUGGAGCAAGGGAGUGUUACUCAAAUCUCCUUCUCCCCCAAAAGUUCCUCUGCCUCUAUUUUUAAUCACCUGUCUCCUGGGCCUCUGAUUUCUUACAGUUAUCUGCAGGGCAGGUUAUGCAUGUGAAAAUACGCUGAUUGUAAUGGAAAGUUUUUUGAAGUGGCAGUUUUUAAUAAUUACUGUCAAGAUGAUACCAAGAUUUUAAACCAAAACCAUCCUGGGAUACAUUGGAUGAACAUUACAGUUUCUGAAAUAUGACCUGCUAAGAUGGUAAGUGAGAAUAGCAGUUUAAACACAUCUCUUUCAUGGUGUUGAUUACUACCUCCACUGGACCAUUUCCCUUCUGCAAAGGUGGCUACAAAAAUGGCAUUCUGGCAAAAUAUUUUGUCUUACAUGAGGACAGAAUGUUGUUCUGAACUAUCAACAUAGACAAAAUAGUACUAUCGUGUUGCUCAUACCAGGGCAGAGAGCAGUUCCCAAUUACAGUCUGUGUGCAAGAGGCAGGAGACCUUUGGUCCCUGUUGGUCCUCUCCAGCUGUGCUCUAUAGUGUUGAUUCAGAUGUGCAGUCAAGACUACAAUCCUUGAGAUGGUUUACCAUUGCUGGCUACAUCUGUUUUUAAUGUGUCCUCGCUGUUAAAUAAUGCAACUUGGAUUGAAACUGUUCCUUUGAGGUUUAAAUUCAGUUGCAUUUAUGAUGCACUGAAGUAUGUAUACAGUUGCCACAGUUCAGCUGACUCCUGGUGACAUAUCUCCCAAAACCUGGCUUUUUUUUUCCCAAAACCUGGAGUCCAUUCUUAGCAGUCUAGAAUAAACUUAAUACAGGUAUGUCUGGAAAAUAGGUGAGAUGGGAGAUUCAAACACAUUUGGGGAAAUGGAAUGAGAGUAAGGAAGCACUAAGAACUUCACUAAACUUUAAAGCUACAGGGAUUUUUAUGAGUAUUAAAAUUCACACUUUUUUUUUCCCCGUCUUUAGUGGGAAGGACCAGGUGUUUUAGUGAUCAUAAGUGGCAGUGUGUUUUGAUUCAUUGCUUUAACCAAUAGAUGUCAAAACUUUGGCGUUAUCUUCCACUCUGCAGAGAGAAUGUCAUGCAACUAUUUCCUUUUUCAGUUAAAUUUGCUUCUCUGCAGAAGAGCUUUGCAAGGUACUUUUGGAGACCAUCAAGUAUUUAGAGGAUAAUUGCAUAUAUUCCAGGCAAUUGAUUGAAAUGACUCUUAUGGUUCAUGGUAAAUGCAAGAUCUUAAAAGGUUCUGUGUAUUAGUACCUUUUGUAGAAUUGUCAUUUUAGUCAUUUUAGAAGUGAGGGUUUUUACUCUGUAACCUAUUUGUCUUCAACUUCUAUGCUCCCGUUUUAUAGUACAGUACAUGACACAGUGGUUGAGAUGUUGAAGUAGAAAAAUUAAGACAUGAUAUGUAGAGUUUAUUAGUAAAUAGUAAGAAUUUGUCGACUCUCCUUAGCCAGCCCAGAAUAUAGUAAAAUAAGAUUCAGGUCUCCCUUUGUUUAGCGUUUCCCGUAUUGGCAUAUUUUGUAUAAAAAAAAAAUUGUGGGAUUUUGGUGGUUUGGGUUUUUGGUGGUUUUUUUUGGUUUUUUUUUUUUUGGUGGUGGUUGUUCUUUUGUUUUUCAUAAAAAACUAAAAUCAAACAUUGCAGAAAAUGAUAGAAAUAUGUGAUCAAACAACAAGGGUGGACAUUGGAGUCUUUUGGAUCUUGAUCAAUGUUAAGUAGUGCUAGUUCUAAAAUACCAAAGUGUCCUGUGCUCUUUCCUUGUUGCCAUUUUGUAGUUUUUCCUAUGUGUUAUUUAUUUAAUUAUUCCAGCAGAAUUGGAAUAGGUGUAACAGCUUCACAUGCUCCUGUCUCGUCCUGUGACCAAUCUAUGUGGCUGCCGAUGCCAAAUCCUUUUUCUGAGAUCCAAGUAGGUGCACUAAGGCUUUGCUUACUGUGAAGUGAUUCUUGUCUUAAAUCUGUUUCAGGUGAAAAUCACUUUCUGUUUCUGAACAGGACAGAAGAGCGAAAGUUGUUACCCUGCAGCCAAUGUCAAUGAUGAUCAUCACUGGUUGAUUUAGACACCGUUGUGUGUUUUACAGACUAUUCUAGUAGGAAGCCUAAUCCCUGUUUCAUUCAUGUUCUCAUUACUGCAGCCUUCCAUAUUCUCAGAGAAAUAUGGGCUGCCACUGUUUUCUACAGUUGAUGCUUUGGUAUUUUUUAAUCUCUUUGCUACAACUCAUUUUUCUAUGUCUCCUAUUGUCUACUUCUUGUGACAUUUAUGCGAGAGGAGCUAUCGAAUAUUUUUUACCCUUCCUGUAAUGUAGACCCUAUUAGGCCUAAGUGCACUGUUUUGCAAACUACAGUUGCCUUUAAACCAUAAAUCAAAACCAGUUUGCAUUACUUGUUUUGGCUGGUUUUGAUUUGGAGCAGAGACCUAAUGGGAACUUCAGUAAGACAACCUUUCUCAUUUAUUUCUUUUCUUUUUAAAAAGCACUAGUGGAAGUUUGGAAAAGAGGUGUAGGUGUAUAGCCUUCAAAUUGUAAAGAUUUCUGAUUGUAGUUGCAAUGAAAACACAGUGUUUGUGUCUGUACAGAACUCUCAGUCUUUGAAAUUGCUUUCAAUUAAAAAACUGGAGGAAAAACUAUGAAAUAAUGUUUUGGAGCUGUAUCAAUAAUUACACGUCAGACAGAAGAUAAAAAUUACUGUCUUACAUGACCUAAUAUGAUCUGUGCAAUGAAACAUGUUUUCUAGCUUCUGUUGAGCUUCAGCUUCUUGCAGUUCUGGGGUUUAACUUUUAUACAUGAGCUCUCAUACCAUACUGUGCAUGUUGACUGCCUGUUGCAAGUCAGGGUGAGGCAGAUGGCACUAUUUCACCUGUGUUUUCAUGACAAUCCUGUGCUUGAGCAACUCUUUCAGAAUGCAGUGACGUAUAGGAAUUCCACUGUCCCAGACACAGUGAUGUGCUAUCUAGAAGUCCUUUCAUGUAUAGCUGUUGUGUAGAACUUUGAAAGUUAUUUUGUGUUUAAUUCGGUUGGUUUGGUUUUGUUUGUUUGGGUUUUUUUUUAAUAUGGAAAAUAAUGAUUCCUCGUAAAAUCUCUGGAACCAAUCAGUAUUGUGGGCUAUUUUAAUUUGGAGACACUUUCAUAAUAAACAUAAAUAUUAGGAA
ensembl:lncRNA